AUUGAACGCUGGCGGCAGGCCUAACACAUGCAAGUCGAGCGGAGCGGCGGACGGGUGAGUAAUGCCUCGGAAUCUGCCUGGUAGUGGGGGAUAACGUCCGGAAACGGGCGCUACUACCGCAUACUCUCAGAUGAGCCUAGGUCGGAUUACCUAGUUGGUGGGGUAAAGGCCUACAAAGGCGACGCACCGUAACUGGUCUGAGAGGCUGAUCAGUCAACCUGGAACUGAUACACGGUCCAGACUCAUACGGGAUGCAGCAGUGGGGAAUAUUGGACAAUGGGCGAAAGCCUGAUCCAGCCAUGCCGCGUGUGUGAAGAAGGUCUUCGGAUUGUAAAGCACUUUAAGUUGGGAGGCGUUACCUAAAGAAUAAGCACCGGAUAACUUCGUGCCAGCAGCCGCGGUAAUAC
rnacentral:rRNA from 1 species